rnacentral:rRNA from 1 species
GUGUCAGCCGCCGCGGUAAUACGUAGGUGGCAAGCGUUAAUCGGAAUUACUGGGCGUAAAGCGUGCGCAGGCGGUUAUGUAAGACAGGCGUGAAAUCCCCGGGCUUAACCUGGGAAUUGCGCUUGUGACUGCAUAGCUAGAGUAUGUCAGAGGGGGGUAGAAUUCCACGUGUAGCAGUGAAAUGCGUAGAGAUGUGGAGGAAUACCAAUGGCGAAGGCAGCCCCCUGGGAUAAUACUGACGCUCAUGCACGAAAGCGUGGGGAGCAAACAGGAUUAGAUACCCCGGUAGUCC